GUGAAAGCAUGGGGAUCAGUGAUCAGAGAUCCAGUAACUACAGAAAGAACCAAGUACUUGAAAUCCCAGUGCUGUGUGUUCAAAAGACAUGGAAAUUAUUGAAGCUUACUUGUCAAUAAGCCUAGCCAAUCAGUGACUUUAAGGUCAAUGAGAGAUUAUCUUAAAACUAAGAUAGAGAAUAUUUCAUAGAUUCUUGAAACUACUGUCUAGCCUACAAACAUAUACAUAUUCAUAUGCAACAAUGCACAUGCACACACAUAUAAGCACAUUCACUCACAUACAAACACACACAUGUGCACAUUCAAUGACACACAUACAUGUGCACAUGCACCAACACACACACAAACACACACACACAUAAAUACACUCAUGUGUGAUGUAGCAACCAACACAUAUUUACAUUUACGAACAUAUUCCCCAACACACACACACACACACACACAUGUGCACGUUCACCAACACAUGCCUAUUCCCCAACAUACACGCAUGCAUGUGCAACAUUGCACACAGGUGUGCACAUGUAGCAACCAACACACAUAAGCACAUACAUCAACACACAUAAGUAAACAUAUAUAUGUGUGUGUGUGUGUGUAUAUACAUAUAUAUACAAUAAUUAAUACAUACACCAUCUACACAUACACAUAUACAUGUACAUCAUAUAUUUGUGUGUGUGUGUGUAUAUACACACAUAUACAAUAAACAUAUACAUACAUAUACAUCCAAAGGCUUCAUAACAUUUAAAGAAAAAUGAAAAGGGAAAUCAUGUAAAUAUAACUUCCCCCUACUCCAUGGCACGGCUUUGCUUGCUAUGCUUUAACAACAAUCCCUUUUUCUUUGCAGGGAGGCUAGCUACGAAUUUGAGAAUUGUUCUUCUUAUAAUGAAGCUUACACAACUGGAGAGCACUGAUGUGGCAUCAUUGAAUAGAGCAAGGGAAACUGACUCAGAAUAAGCAAGCUAAACAGAGUUUUCUUCCCCCCCCCGCCCCCCACCCCCUGCAUGUAGUAUCUUCAAGAUCAAACCUGCAGAACAGAGAUUAUUCUGCUUGUUUGGAGGAACGUCUCUCUCUCUCUCUCUCAAUUUUUUUUUUAUUGGAUUACCUAUGAUCUUAGUCACUUAGGCAUGAAACACUCACCCAUCCCCCAGGCAAUCUCUUAAUUUAGAUGUCUUCUUAAGAAGAUCAUUGGCCUGGCAAGGGAUAUGUUCAGCAAGAGGAAAAUAAAUCUCUCAGAUUGAAAGUCAUCAUUCAUAAAAGAAACAGAAUUAAGAUAGUGGAAUUCAACCAAGCUUGUAGAAACAAGAUCUUACAAGAGACACUACGUUUGAGGGAAUGAGAGUUGAUCUCAUGUUAAUGUGGAUUUGGUGUAAUCCUGUGCCUGCAGAAGGGGGAUUACUUAGGGAACAGUGCCCUCUGUGUGUGCAGGCUUUCAUUUGACGCAUCAAGCUUGCUCAGGAAACAGAGGCAUGGACAAAGGAAGUUCAAACAAAUUAGUUUAUAUUUGCUCAGUAUUUUCAUGCAGGAAAAGUAAAUCUACCAAUAAAGGACGCAUGGUAAUCAGUCUCUAAUGGAAAAAUGAGGUCUGAUUAAGACUCUUCUGCUAAUGCACUUCAGGGUUAGUUAUAACCAAAUUACUGAAAAUGUUCAAAAAGCCCUUCUGUCAUUACGUGACUUACUUUGUCUCAUUUGUCAAAGGGCUUUUGCAACCUUUCUUGCUGAGCAAAUGUCCUUUUCGCAGCCUUGCAUUUCUGUGUGGGCUUGAAUUCCUCAGCCAGUUGCGCCUGAUCACCCAGCAGGCACAAUUAAGGAAGUGCAUUAGUUCUUCAGUAGAUAAUAGAAGCUCUAAAUAGCUCGCUAUAAGAGCCUGCAUGGCACAGUUCUAUAUUUUUAAGUCAGCUGGAUUCACUGUUUAAUAACCCGAACAGCUUGAGUAAUUUGAAAUCAUAGAGAAAAAAAGAAGGGAAAGGAUAAAAACUGGUGUAAUGUAUUGUGCUUCAGCUCAUUCUAUACAUUUUCCUUGCCAUAUAUCUGUAAGGGAUGGGAAGAUUAUAUCUUUACAGUAACAGCCAUACUUAUUUGCAUACCAUGAGCAUAGAAUAGCUAACAAUGGGGUUCUUUGUAAAAGGUAUAGUUUGAUCAUUUUGACCAAAUAGUCCCUAUACUGGAAAGCAACAAAAUAAAUGUGUUGUAAGAGCCAUAAUUCAAUACUGGAAGAAAAAAAUUGGAUAUUUUUUUAAGAUGUUCAGAAAUGACAUUUUAACAGCAGGGAGAGUGUAGUCAAAGAAAUGACUU
rnacentral:lncRNA from 1 species